rnacentral:rRNA from 1 species
UACGUAGGGUGCAAGCGUUGUCCGGAAUUAUUGGGCGUAAAGAGCUUGUAGGCGGUUUGUCGCGUCUGCUGUGAAAUUUCGGGGCUCAACCCCGAACUUGCAGUGGGUACGGGCAGACUAGAGUGUGGUAGGGGAGACUGGAAUUCCUGGUGUAGCGGUGAAAUGCGCAGAUAUCAGGAGGAACACCCAUGGCGAAGGCAGCUCUCUGGUCGACCUCUGACGCUGAGACGCGAAAGCGUGGGGAGCGAACGGG